UAGGUACCUAGGCCAGACUUUGUCCAAAGAUGAGGUUUUUCUCUGUCACACGUGUCAUUGUGCUCUUGGCCGUCGGUGUGGCCCUGAGCUUCGGGACCACGGAGGAAAGCAAGGAGGCACAUCUUCUAGUCCGUCGGGCAACUGUUUGUCCAGACUUCAGCGCCUGUAUUAGAAGUUGCCAGAGCCAGGGCAAGAGCGGAGGCAUGUGCAUGCCACCUUUGUUUAUUUACUGCAUGUGCAUCUAGACAAGGACCAUGCCCGAAACGGUUGGUACGGAAGUCUCGCUGAAGGUCACUGGCCCACUUUCAACGAGGAGCUGUCUUAGCACGUUGCAAUAAAUG